rnacentral:lncRNA from 1 species
AUUUAUAAAACAAAAUUGAAUUGAAAGAUUGGGGGUUUAGGGUUUAUAAUUUCGAUAUGGGAACUCGAAAUUUUGACGUGAAGAAGCUGUUAAACGACAGGAAAUUCUGGUUCGCUUCGUUCUUAAUCGCGUGGGCUGCUGCUUUACAGUUGUUGGAUAUAGGGGCAUAUGAUGUGGUUACAGAGGCAAGAUUCAUUUAAGCAGAAGUUUGGAACCCUAGAUGAUCACGAUACUGACGAUCGACAUGAUUCUACUCCAAUUUGACUAGUUUUGGAAAAGAGAAGUUAAGAAUCAGGGAAGUAAGUUGAGAUUGGAACAGGUGCGGUCCAAGGUUCCCACCAUGGUGCGGUCUCAUUCAACAAAACUGAUCCACAUGUUUGCAAGUUCCCAUUAUAAAGUUUGACCUUUUUAACUUUACACCUCAUUCUGGUGCAUAUGAAGGUAGACUUUGCCCUUGUGAGUGAUUUCUGUGACCAUGUGAAAGUUGAAAAACAUUUUUUUUUCCAUAAAACAUGAUCCUUUUGCUUAUACAUUGUACUUAGUUCUAGAUAUAAUGUUAGAGAGAGAACGUAGAUUAUGCAGUCAUGUAAUCGUCGUAAUAAUCACAUGUAACACACGUAAAGGCGUCCAUGUGAUUCUCACAGUGUUCGGUCAAUAAAUCCUAUGUCAAAAGAAAUCUAGAUCAAUAAGAAAACGAUUUCUAGCCAACGUGGAAUCAUGAAAUGAUUAUUAAAGCAAACAGAAUGCUGCAUCCUUUAGUUUCCUUUAGCUGUGAUAUGAAUCGAGAUUUUAGCGAAUAGACCACCCAAAUAGGCUCAGUUUGGUGCUGAACAAUGUGAGCUGUUUGAGCCGGUUAAGUUUUUACCUAAUGUCAACACGCCUAGGGCCUGUUAUUUACGCCACCGGCCACCUUCAUUGUUUAUUUUUGCGAAUUAUUCAAUAAGA